CCGGUUGAUCCUGCCGGACCUGACUGCUAUCGGAUUGAUACUAAGCCAUGCGAGUCUUUGUAGUAAUACAAGGCAGACGGCUCAGUAACACGUAGUCAACCUACCCUAUGGACAAGAAUAAUCUCGGGAAACUGGGCAUAAUUCUUGAUAGAUCAUAAUGCCUGGAAUGGUUUAUGGUUAAAAUGAUUCGUCGCCAUAGGAUGGGACUGCGGCCUAUCAGCUUGUUGGUGAGGUAAUGGCCCACCAAGGCGAUUACAGGUACGGGCUCUGAGAGGAGAAGCCCGGAGAUGGGUACUGAGACACGGACCCAGGCCCUAUGGGGCGCAGCAGGCGAGAAAACUCUGCAAUGUGCGAAAGCACGACAAGGUUAAUCCGAGUGAUUUCUGCUAAAGAAAUCUUUUACCAGUCAUAAAACCACUGGUGAAUAAGGGGUGGGCAAGUUCUGGUGUCAGCCGCCGCGGUAAAACCAGCACCUCAAGUGGUCAGGAUGAUUAUUGGGCCUAAAGCAUCCGUAGCCGGCUUUGUUAGUUUUCGGUUAAAUCCAUGUGCUCAACACAUGGGCUGCCGAAAAUACUGCAUGGCUAGGGAGUGGGAGAGGUAGACGGUACUCAGUAGGAAGGGGUAAAAUCCUUUGAUCUAUUGAUGACCACCUGUGGCGAAGGCGGUCUACCAGAACACGUUCGACGGUGAGGGAUGAAAGCUGGGGGAGCAAACCGGAUUAGAUACCCGGGUAGUCCCAGCUGUAAACGAUGCAGACUCGAUGAUGCAUUGGCAUAAUAGCCAGUGCAGUGUCGCAGGGAAGCCGUUAAGUCUGCCGCCUGGGAAGUACGUACGCAAGUAUGAAACUUAAAGGAAUUGGCGGGGGAGCACCACAAGGGGUGAAGCCUGCGGUUCAAUUGGAUUCAACGCCGGG
rnacentral:rRNA from 1 species